UACAGAGGUCUCAAGCGUUGUUCGGAUUCACUGGGCGUAAAGGGCGCGUAGGCGGGAUGGCAAGUCAGUCGUGAAAUCUCUCGGCUCAACCGAGAAACGUCGGCUGAUACUGCCGUUCUUGAGGGAUGCAGAGGAGACUGGAAUUCCCGGUGUAGCGGUGAAAUGUGUAGAGAUCGGGAGGAACACCGGUGGCGAAGGCGGGUCUCUGGACAGUUCCUGACGCUGAGGCGCGAAGGCCAGGGGAGCAAACGGG
rnacentral:rRNA from 1 species